CCCUUCCCCUGGCACGCCGCACAGUCCCGCUCCCUCCCUCCCAGUAACGGAGGUGAAGGUGACAGAGGUGAAGCCGAAGGAGGUGCAGCUGUCUGUGGAGCGAGUUCCUGGGACUCUGUCCACUGCAAGCAAAUCGGUGCAAGUCAACGGUGCUGCCACAGAGCAGAGGAAGCCCUCCUACGCCGAGAUCUGCCAGCGGGUGAAGGAUACCCCGACGUUACAGCAACCAACCACCCCUAAGGAAGCUAAGCCAGCCUGCGCCGCCACAGCAGGCGAGGAGAGGAAGUGCCCCGACGCCUCCACGCCUUCAGGGGAGGCCAAGGCCAGAGAGACUUACCACCCCUCCUCCAAACCCAGUUCAACGGGUGCCACCACAGGCAGACCCCCGAAGGAGGUCCGAAGGCCGGGUGGGCGGUGGGCCUCUCCGCCCCCACACCCAGGGAAAACCCCCAACAAAGAUUCCCACCACACCCCACCCAAAUCCCCGCAGUAGGGUGACCUCCUUUCCCUCCCCAAGUCCUCCAACCCCACUACUAUGCUCCACAGAUGCGUUUAAAAAAAUAAAGGAAAUACAAGUCAGGGCUACUCGAUACUUAUAUCCCAGAAUCACCCGUCACAAACAAGCAUAGAGGACGCCUUCUUUUCUGGAUCAGGGCUUGCAGACAAAAAGCACUUUACUGUGCAUGUAGAGCACCGUUUCUUUUUCUUUAUAUUCUAUUUAUUGUUUUUGGUUUUUCACUUUUAUUUCUCCUUUUCUCUUUUUGCAUUACGUAGUGGUGUCAGCCUGUCAGGUGGCACAGACAACACUGAAAUUUGUUCAUUCUGUCCAAACGGCCUUGUGGGAUUAAAUUAGCCGCGCGUGUGUGUGUCUGCGCGUGUGUGUGUCUGCGCGUGUGUGUGUGUGUGUGUGUGUGUGUGUGUGUGUGUGUGUGUGUGUGCGCGCGCGCGCGCAUGUGUGGGAAGCAGCAGGGCAUUGUUGGAAGCCACCCCAAAGGAUGAUGGGAAAGGGUGCAUAAAACAGACUCCAUCUUGUUUGGCUGUCAUAAUGAGGGGUUUGUUUGCAUGUUGAGUGGCAGCAUUGUGCAACUUUAAGUGGCUUAAUUAUGGGUCAUUAUUAGUCCUUUUGUUUUUAAAUACAUAUUCACAUCCAUAUGCAACUCAACAUCACAAGAAGACUUGGAUCCUUUGGUUUACAUAGAAUUUUUUGCAGGUUUGUUUACACUAGGUGGCUUUUAUGUCUUUUUGGGGUUUUUUGCAAACUGUAGUUGGCUGUUGGUACAGUAAUUGGUCAUCCUCCCCUCGGCGUCUUCUCCCUCUGAUCCUGUUCUUAAAGGAUCACCCCUCCUGCUGUUAUUCCCUCUCUGUUUUGCUAACAUGCUAACUCACCAUAGUGUGCGUCUGUGGCUUAACGUGGGGUCAGCGCUGUUUUGUUUUUUGUUUUUUUUAGUAUCACACAGGAAGGGCACAUGACUUUUCUCUAAAAUGAGGCAUCUUGUUGUAACAGUGAAAGUAGGUGAGGUGUUGCUCACACUGCAUAUGAGUCUGCAGACAUUUAACUAGUCAGGAAGCUAAAUUCUCUCCCCGCUUUUCAUUUCCUGUCAAACUGUUGAUCAUUAUUGUGGAAGGAAGGAAGAUGCAGGGCAGGUUUUAGGCUGACAAACUUAAAAAUCGAGCGGUGACGAGGAAGCCGCUUCUUCCCAUCUGAAAGGGUUUUGUUUAUUCUGGAGGCGAGGGAACGCUGGCAAGCAGGAAGGAGGAAAUUAACACUAGCUACCAGCUAUCAGCUCAGUAAACACGUCUGUUUACAGGCGCCGAACGGAGGGUUUUUUGGUUUUUGUUUAAUUUUCUGGAAAUCUGCUGAGACACAGUGACUCAUCAGGAGGCUGAGAUGUGUGUGAGUUUCCUGCCAUAAAAUGGGACGAGUCCAGAGUUCAGUGUGGCGAUUUGAUCCAGUGGGAAGUUUCCUGUUCAAACUGUUCAAACCUCCUUUCAAACGGUGGCAUGUUUGUAGUUCUUUCUCCUACUUAUGGUGCUAGAUAUCAAAACCUGGAAUCUGUUACUACAACUCCUCUGAUACUGUAAGUAGAAAUACUUGAUUUACAUCUGCAGACGUUUAAUUGCACUGUUGUUGUUUUCUCAGACUCUCGCAAGCAAAUUCAUGUGAUUAAUCCUACCUAAAGUGAAAAAAGGGACUAACUUUGUUUUGUUUUUUGGGGAGGAAGUUGGGGAAUGACACACACAGUUCAGUUUUCCAGGAGGGAAGUUGACGAACACCCUGCUGCAUCAUCUCCAUUGACACAAUCACUGAAGCUUUUUUGUCUUGUCGGUCAUGUUGAAGCAUCUGCGCAGCAUUAAAUUUUUGAAGACUGAUGCUUAAC